AGAGUUUGAUCCUGGCUCAGAUUGAACGCUGGCGGCAGGCCUAACACAUGCAAGUCGAACGGUAACAGGAUGUGCUUGCACAUCGCUGACGAGUGGCGGACGGGUGAGUAAUGCUUAGGGAUCUGCCUCUGUGUGGGGGAUAACUAUUGGAAACGAUAGCUAAUACCGCAUAAUGUUUACGGACCAAAGGGGGCGUUUGCUCCCGCGCAGAGAGGAACCUAAGUGAGAUUAGCUAGUUGGUAAGGUAAUGGCUUACCAAGGCGACGAUCUCUAGCUGUUCUGAGAGGAAGAUCAGCCACACUGGGACUGAGACACGGCCCAGACUCCUACGGGAGGCAGCAGUGGGGAAUAUUGCACAAUGGGGGGAACCCUGAUGCAGCCAUGCCGCGUGUGUGAAGAAGGCCUUCGGGUUGUAAAGCACUUUCAGUUGUGAGGAAAGGUUAGUAGUUAAUACCUGCUAGCUGUGACGUUAGCAACAGAAGAAGCACCGGCUAACUCCGUGCCAGCAGCCGCGGUAAUACGGAGGGUGCGAGCGUUAAUCGGAAUUACUGGGCGUAAAGCGCACGCAGGCGGUUUGUUAAGCUAGAUGUGAAAGCCCCGAGCUCAACUUGGGAUGGUCAUUUAGAACUGGCAGACUAGAGUCUUGGAGAGGGGAGUGGAAUUUCUAGUGUAGCGGUGAAAUGCGUAGAUAUUAGAAGGAACAUCAGUGGCGAAGGCGACUCCCUGGCCAAAGACUGACGCUCAUGUGCGAAAGUGUGGGUAGCGAACAGGAUUAGAUACCCUGGUAGUCCACACCGUAAACGCUGUCUACUAGCUGUUUGUGAGUUUAACUCGUGAGUAGCGAAGCUAACGCGCUAAGUAGACCGCCUGGGGAGUACGGCCGCAAGGUUAAAACUCAAAUGAAUUGACGGGGGCCCGCACAAGCGGUGGAGCAUGUGGUUUAAUUCGAUGCGACGCCGAAGAACCUUACCUACCCUUGACAUUCAGCGAACUUAUCAAAGAUGCUUUUGUUGCCUUCCGGAACACUUUGGACAAGUGGUUGCUUGGGUGUCGUCAACUCCUGGCCUGGAGAAGUUUGGGUUUAAUUCCCCCCACCGAAGCCAAACCCUUUGUCCUUAAUUUUCCCGC
rnacentral:rRNA from 1 species